UACGUAGGGUGCAAGCGUUAAUCGGAAUUACUGGGCGUAAAGCGUGCGCAGGCGGUUUUGUAAGUUUGUCGUGAAAUCCCCGGGCUCAACCUGGGAAUGGCGAUGAAGACUGCAAGGCUAGAAUCUGGCAGAGGGGGGUAGAAUUCCACGUGUGAGCAGUGAAAUGCGUAGAGAUGUGGAGGAACACCGAUGGCGAAGGCAGCCCCCUGGGUCAAGAUUGACGCUCAUGCACGAAAGCGUGGGGAGCAAAGAGG
rnacentral:rRNA from 1 species